rnacentral:rRNA from 1 species
UAGAGUUUGAUCAUGGCUCAGAUUGAACGCUGGCGGCAGGCCUAACACAUGCAAGUCGAGCGGAAACGAUGGAAGCUUGCUUCCAGGCGUCGAGCGGCGGACGGGUGAGUAACGCAUGGGAAUCUGCCCGAUAGUGGGGGAUAACCUGGGGAAACCCAGGCUAAUACCGCAUACGUCCUACGGGAGAAAGCAGGGGAUCUUCGGACCUUGCGCUAUCGGAUGAGCCCAUGUCGGAUUAGCUUGUUGGUGAGGUAAUGGCUCACCAAGGCGACGAUCCGUAGCUGGUCUGAGAGGAUGAUCAGCCACAUCGGGACUGAGACACGGCCCGAACUCCUACGGGAGGCAGCAGUGGGGAAUAUUGGACAAUGGGCGAAAGCCUGAUCCAGCCAUGCCGCGUGUGUGAAGAAGGCCCUCGGGUUGUAAAGCACUUUCAGUGGGGAAGAAAGCCUUGGGAUUAAUACUCCCGAGGAAGGACAUCACCCACAGAAGAGCCG